UGGCUUACUUGUCAUCAUGAACUGGAACUCCCCAUUCCUCGUCGUGAUAAGCAAUAUAGAUGGGAUCUGUUCAUCAAAACAAACAUUGAGAUAAAGCAAAAAAAUUUGCUUUUUAAGGUAAAGCACAUUCAUUCAGUAGUAUGAAUUUGCAUUAAAAUAUGGAGAAAAAACUUAAAUAUGCCUUUCAACUAUGAUUAGAGUUGUUUCCCAGUAACUUUUGUUAAUAUUUGAUAUAAACUUUUUUAUAAAAAUCCAAUUCUAAUCAAGAACAAUAUUAAAAAUAUGCAAUUAAAAUAUUCACUACUAAUUACCAGAAUUGGCUGUGAUAAAGCUGCAUCUCUUCUCCUCUUCAGUUGGCUUUGAUGUAAGAGUAGUGGUUGAAGGAUCAAGAGGAACAACUCUUUCAAACUUAGCAGACUUUGAUCUUCCAUAAUGAGCAAUCUUCAUUUUCCUUUGCGCCUGCUGCAGUGCCAUCUGUUC
rnacentral:lncRNA from 1 species